rnacentral:rRNA from 1 species
UACAGAGGGUGCAAGCGUUAAUCGGAAUUACUGGGCGUAAAGCGCGCGUAGGUGGUUUGUUAAGUUGGAUGUGAAAUCCCCGGGCUCAACCUGGGAACUGCAUUCAAAACUGACAAGCUAGAGUAUGGUAGAGGGUGGUGGAAUUUCCUGUGUAGCGGUGAAAUGCGUAGAUAUAGGAAGGAACACCAGUGGCGAAGGCGACCACCUGGACUGAUACUGACACUGAGGCAUGAAAGCGUGGGGAGCAAACAGG